UCUAGCUUUUGCCAUCCAGUGCAUGUAAAGGGAAAGCACGAUGUUUUCAUCUGUGUUUCCGGGAUGACUCGUGGGUCCAAUGUGGCUUUAUUUACUCGAUGCCUCUUUGGAUCUUUCUGUCAACUGACCGUUGGAUGCUUCGUCCUCUGUUGUGGUUGUCGCCUUCUGGUUGCUGCAAGACUCCUUCUGAAUUGCCAGCCCAGGACGGCACGACACCUUCCUCCAGAGCUUCCUCCGCUCCUCCUGUGCUCUGUGCUUGUGUCCGUGGUGCACGCUGAAGAGAAACCCGUAUCUUCUAUGUCCUCGAGCACACGUUCUCUGUGUGUGUGGGCAGAGUUUUUUCCUUCUAAUGAGGCAGUUAUUUUUCUCUGGAAGAAGACUGGGGCCGUUGGCACAGAAAACCUGAGCUCUCCCUGCAGUUAAUUAUGAAAAAUGGAGAAAUUUGAGUAAGCAAACAUCUAAGUUGACUUUUCCCUUUUAUUUUACUGCAUUUAAUUAAAGUAUGACGCAUAGACAGAGAAAUAUGCAAACCGUGAGUGUGGAGCUCAGUGAAUUUCACAAAGUCAGUGGGUCAUAUGGUCAGCUCCCCGGUCAGCAGAAAGAGACCCCUGGCAUUCCAGAAGCUGUCCAGCCCCUGCCAGGAAUUAGCCCUGCCAAGGGGAGCGCUGGCCUUCCUGUCGGCCCCAAAGAUUAGUGCCGCCUGGUUGGUUGAACUUUUCUCAGUGGAGUCAUGGAGGGUGUACCUUGGUGGACCGGGCUCCUUUUGCUUCGUCCUUUCAUGGAACUGGCCCGUGUUGUGCUGUGGUCUGCCUGCGUGGCUGGGUGGCCGUCCUUCCGUGGAUAUACCGCGGCUUAUUCACCUGUUCCAUUGUGACUAGUGUGGGUUUGUUUCCUGUUGGGGGCAAUCGGGCUCAGGGGCCACGGAGAAGCCGCUGGAAGAGGGCACGAGCGCGUCAGCCAGCCAGACGUCCCGCGUGCACACACGGUUCACACCCACCAGCCGCGUGUGCGCUGGACUCUCCACCUCUUUGCGAGCGUCGGUUGCGUCUCUUCAUUUUGUCACUCUGCCGGGGGUCUCGUUGUGUUUGGGUUUGCAUUUCUCUGAUGACUAAUGAAGUUGAGCACUUCUUUGUGUUUUUGGCCUUUUGCAUAAACUUUAUUUUGAAGUUCCUAUUUUUCCAGUUAUAUUGGUUGGUCUGUCAUUUUCUUAUUGACCUCGGUCAGGUGUUGUGUGUGUAUUUAUAUCCAAUAUCAAUCCUUUGUGUAU
rnacentral:lncRNA from 1 species